GCAGGCAUGGGGGGGAGUUGGGGAAAGUGUGUGGAGGUCACUUACCCAGCUAACCCCCUCCCCAAAAAAAGACAUGAAACUGAAUUUUUUCCUUUUUCCUGUUAGAUGUUCUUUUUCCUUGAUUGCUCAGAAUCUCCUGAGCACCCUAAAGCUUUGAUUUAGCACCCACAGGUGGUGACCCGAGGUGGUGAACCUGGCUGCUGUGCUAAUGGUCAAAAGAGCUGUGGAAACCAUUUCUAGCCUCAAACUGGGUAAAUCCAAACAGUGGGAAGAGUUGAAGUGGUUCAAGUUUAGGGAUGUUCUGUGCAUGGCUCAGGGAGUUCAGCACCUGGAGUUUAGGGCAGAAGAUACCUGGGUCAGCAGGCAGGUUUCUAGUGCAGUGAAAGUUGCACUGAAAUGUUGUGUUUGGCUCUGAUGUUUGCAGCAAGGAGCCCCUUUUGUACCAAAAGCCACAUUCCUCCAUCUUUAUGGAGCUGUUUUAAAUACAGCUGGUGGACUCCCAAACCCAAAUCCUUCAGAAACAGUAUUUAAACCCAAGCUGUGACUUGGAUGGGACUCUGAGCAACCUGUUCUAGUGAGAGGUGUCCGUGCCCAGGGCAGGGGGUUGGUAUGAGAUGAUUUUUAAGGUCCCUUCUAACCCAUUCUGUGACUCUGUGGCGAGGCUGUGUGUGCUGUCGCCUGGCCAGGGGCUUCCCAGAGAUGUUUUUUUUGAUCCUUGUCUUCUGGGACUUACCCUGUUGGGGCUUCACUUUCAUUGUUGCCUUGGUGUUGCUGUUACCUGUUAACCAGCAGAUCUGAUGCUUGCAAAGCAGACUUUCUGAGGCUCCAUGUACCCUGGGUUGUGUUUGGACUUGGAAGAAGAAGGAAAACAUUCCUUUUGUCCUGACUGGUGACAUGACAUCAUGAGAUCGGAGCUCUUCCACUUCCAAAUAGGAAACAGCUGCCAUUGUGCUCAUUCUCCAGGAGCUCCCAGGACUGGCCACCCUCCAGCUUCCUGCAGGAACACCCUUGUGCUUGCAGGGAGCCAGGGGUGAGCCAGCUGCCGUGACCCUGCCCUGUCCCCAGCCCAUGGCGCUGACACAGCCAAACCCCAGGAUGCAGGACAGGAGACUCAGUGUCACCAGGCCAGGGUGAAAACCACAGCUGGCUUGGGCAGCUCAGCAGGGGAAUGGCCACGUCAGGUUUUGAAGGCAGAUGUGCUCUGAGCUGGCCACUAAAAGGUCAUUGUGGCUGCGGUUCUCUGGUGCUGAGCUAAGGAGUUCCACCAGGAGCAAAAGGUUCGGCUUGGAGCUCCUCUAGUUUUCCUGCAUGACUUCUGGUCAUCCCAAAUGAGCUGAGAUCUGCUGGUUAGAAGUCAUAUGGCUGUGCUGUGUCCCAUGGGCCUCUUCAGCAGCAUCGUCCUCUGAGGAGCACAAUCAGCGGGAGCACUCAGCAGGAGCUGAUGGAGAGGAGCAGAGGACGAUUCCUUUCAAGACAAGGUCCUGGAGGGUUCCUGUGGAUGCUGAGGAGCACAGCCUGUCCCUGCCUGUCUGCGGUGAGGGCCUGGCAGGGCAGAGAUGAAUGAGGAGCAGAAGAGAGGAAACAUGGCUCGCUUUGUAGUGUCAGUUCUAUCACCGGGAGGGAUCUGGGAUGUGUAAUUAGCUGAAAAGGAGGCUGUUGUACAUAACACAGGCCUGUUGUCCCCAGCCCAGCAGGCCGGGUGACCCAGCCUUUGGUCUCCUGGCUGGCAAUGUCACCACAGUCCCCUGGCAGCACAGCAGCCUCGCUGGAGACAGAUGCUCUGUUUAUUUCUCCAUUUGUAUUCCCAGCGUGUCCCGGUGCUAACUGUAAGCCUGGCUUAGAAAUUUCCUGCAAGCACCUUAUCAGAUAAUGAAUAAUGAUUUAUUGAACAUAUGGGUAAACAGCACAGAUAAGAUAUAAAUACACUUCGGAAGAGCAGUUGCAUUUGUAAGGAUCUGUACCAAACCCGCCCCGUGGAUUCUGGCACUGCUUCCAGCUGCCAGAAAGCAUCUCCUGCUUGGGCUGCUGUGCAUCCCUGCAGGUCCCAAUCCGUGGGGGAAAAACAAAGGGCAAGGGGCGAGGGCAAAGGCACCUGCCAGGAGAUACUCACAGGGCUGUGGGCAUUAAUUCACUCUGGCUCUAGGAGCCAGGCUGAAGCAUAAGCAGGCUGCAGUACUUGAGGCAAAAUUUGAAUUUUUAUUUGAUUUUAAACAAGGCUGAAGAUCUGUUCACCCACUCGAAACAAAGCAAGGCUGUGGAAGCAGUGUUGCUUACACAGCUAAACCAGGAUGAAGACAAGAGGCACGGCUGCUCUGUGAACAUGGGCUGGGACCCCAGACCUGUGGGAGGGGUGGUGUUGGCUUCUGGAAAAUGGUUCCUGGCACUGAACCCUCCCAGGUGCACAAACCAGCCUGCUGGUGUGCUUGGCCAUGCUCUGCCUCCCUGUCAAUGGAUUCUGCACAGCCUGCAAAGAGCAAAAUCAGCUCUGCAGAUGGGGACCUGAUUUUUGUGCUGUGGCUGCCUCUGGAGGAAGAUGGAAGGCAGGAUCCAGCUGCAAACUCAGGGAUAUGAUAUGAAUGUGGUGAUAAAUGCUGUUUGUGCUGCUCUAGGGUGGAAAGACUCACUUACCUUCCUUUUUGGAGUAAGUAAUUCCCAGCAAACACCAUCUCAGAGGCCAUCCUCAGUGAAAUGAAUGGCUGCCCGUGUGUCCUCGUUGAGUCUCCCACAUUUUUGCUGCUGAGUUUGCUGGUGGAAAGCCCGCUGAAGAUCCAGCACUGCUGUUUUCAGAGCUGUCCAGGGGUUGUGGUAACUGUCCACCCCUGCUCAUCCUCUGUGCAUCAUCUCCUGUGUGGCACCCACUGCCUCAGGUGAUCUCUCCCACCUUCCAGGUGUGUGCAGCUCCUCUCUGCAGCAGAGUGUAGGGGAGCUGUCAGCUUGGCCUCUGGAUUUAUUCUCCCUGCUGCCCUUGAGAGCCACUCCUCCACUCUGUGGCCAGGGGACCUGCCAUCAGCCAGCCAGCGUUAUUUGCAGCCCUUCCAAGGUCGUGGAUAAAUGAUGGCUGUGCUUUUCUCUCUGUUUAAUCAUCAGUCACCAAAGGCAGGAGUGUUCAGAUCCUUUAAAGCAGAGGAAAGUCAAACCUCGCUGGGUGGGCUGGAAGGAUGUGAGGGGUUGUGAAAGACCAGGAUAACCUUGAGAUGUUUGAACUCAGCCUGGCAUAUUGGGGGUUGUGAUGUCCACCUGGACAAGCAGAUAGAGACAAUUCUGGAUUGCUCAAGCUAACAUAGGAUGAUCCUGUGAGAUGCAGAGGAGGGACAGUUCAAGAGGCCUCUGAGAUCAUCUUUUGGGUGUAGGAGGUUGGUGCAAUUGAUGAGUGUGGGCAUACUGUUCGUUUGGGUUUUCCAUCUUUGGUCCUUUCCACCUGCGAGCACAAAGACGUUUUCCUUUUCUAAUGCUCUGCAAUAGUGGUUGGGGCAUUGUUUCCUUGAUGCUUUUGUGGGGACUUGGGGUAUCAUUUCCUUUUUUGAUCUGGAGAUUUUUCAGUGAUUCAACUUUUCUCUCGCUCCCUUCUGGCCGUGCUCAUCUCUCUCUAGCUUUAUCCCAGCAGGCCUGGCUCACCAUCAUGUGACUUCUGGGCUAAAGGGUAAAAGACAAAAGCCCAGGGAUGGGAGCCUGAUGAAGCUUUGUGAUCCAAUCUGCCAGUGAGCACAGCCAUGGUGAGAAUUUGAUUUGCAUACAUUUCCUACCCGGAAUUCCUCUGGAGCUAUUGGGAGUCACCAUAGCUAACACAGGCUCUGAGCUAUGGGGUUUAUGUGCAUGCAGAAACUACUCCCAUUCGCUUUCUUGGAAAGAGAUUUACUGGAGGCUUUUUUGUCUUAUUGUCCACCCCCUUCCUCCUUUCCCUGCCCAUUGGGGGAUUUUGUGCUGCUGUGGAGACUCUUUGAUCUGAAUUAAUUCUUUGACGAAGCUUCACAAGACAAUGGGAAAACAGAGCACUGCUCUGGGGAGAAUCCUUCCUGCUCAAAAAGAAAAAGGUGGGAAUUGUGCUGGCUUGGUGAGUUGGUGCAGCCCAAAGGCCAGGAGUCUCCCUUGCUGCUCCUGGGGCUGUACUGCAGUGGUGGACACCAGGAUGGGGAUUCUGCUCUGAGCUGGGGGGAAAUGUGGGAAGGCUGGAUGCUGGAGGGUUGUUUGGAUCAGCAUGGGGGGAAUCAGGGUGAGUUAUCAUCAAAGAGAGUGUGGGGAGUUGCCUGGUGGAAGGACAUGGGUCCCAUGGGCUUUCUUUGCUCCAGAAGAGGCUUGUGGACAUCCCUGUGGCCUCGGCCGGUUUGCAGUGCAGCCCUUGUUGUGUCUCAGCCAGAGCCAGGGCUGCUCUUGGAGGCAUGUCUGGAAGUCCUUAAUCCCAGCUCUUCUUUCCCAAGGCUUGUUGUCUUUGCCAUACAAAUCAGAGUGGUUGUAGCCAUGGAUUCAGACUACUGCAGCUGAUCCUCACCUUGGAGAAGCACCCGCCGAACGAAGCCAUGAGUGCCAGGGACCGCCCGGAACGCAGGACCAGCUCCCGUGGGAAAGUCCCCGAGCUGCCCCUCGUUGGCCUUGGUGUCCCCUCCUUCCCCUUCCUGGGGCUGCUGCCCUGUUAAUUGAUUGCUGCCCUGCUCAGCCGUUGCUUGUGGAGCUGAAUGUGCCAAGUUACGGCGCGGGAGCGGAGAAAGGGAGCAGCGCUUCCGAGCGCUGGGCUCGCAUCUGAAAGAUUACUGCACAAUCUAAUGAGCUCAUUAAUUUCAUUUCAUUAACCAAACACUGCUUGUGGAGAAUGGCAAAUAUUUAAAGAAGCGCAGCAGGGUCAGAAACACAUUUAAUUAAUGUUGUCACGUGGUGCUGAGA